UGCGAGUUAGAUUUGGUUUUUAACUUUCACAAGGUAUGGUAUAUCUAAUCUUAGAUGAAUUCGUUCUCGCUGGGGAGCUCCAGGAAACAAGUAAGAAGGCUAUCAUAGAGAGUUUGAAUGAAUUGGAGAAGUUGGAGUAAAGAUUGAUGAUCCAUGAUGGCCAACCUUCAUCCAUAUUCCAAACAUGACCUGAGGUUCGUGAAUCAGCAGGGUUGGCAUUCAGCACUCUCUACAUGACUGCUGGAAUGCAAGCAAUUGAUGAGAUUGUUCCUACACUUCUGCAUGCUCUGGAGGAAGAUCAAACCUCUGAUACUGCUCUGGAUGGUUUAAAACAGAU